UGAUCCGGUGAAGUGUUCG
rnacentral:siRNA from 1 species